rnacentral:rRNA from 1 species
AAUAAAUCUACCUCCGGAUUAAGUUGUAGGUUUACUACUCUAACUCAUACAACCAAGCUAAACAAUUAAAAGUAGAGCGAAAUCUUCCAUAAAUUAUCAAGGUGGAGAGCAAGUUAAAUUCUUUCAAAUCAGGGUGCCAGCAGAAGCGGUCAUACUCUUAGAUACUACAACCCACCAAAUAAAGCUAAAACAAGCCAAAACCAGAGUUACAGGGGUAAAAUCCGUUUAACUUUGGAGUGCAAAGU